rnacentral:rRNA from 1 species
UACGUAGGGGGCUAGCGUUGUCCGGAUUUAUUGGGCGUAAAGAGCGUGUAGGCGGCCAGGUAGGUCUGCUGUGAAAGUCGGGGGCUCAACCCUCGAAUGCCGGUGGAUACUGUCGGGCUAGAGUGCGGGAGAGGCGAGUGGAAUUCCUGGUGUAGCGGUGAAAUGCGCAGAUAUCAGGAGGAACACCAAUUGCGAAGGCAGCUCGCUGGAACGUAACUGACGCUGAGACGCGAAAGCGUGGGGAGCAAACAGG